GUGGGGAAUAUUCCGCAAUGGACGAAAGUCUGACGGAGCAACGCCGCGUGAGUGAUGAAGGUUUUCGGACUGUAAAGCUCUGUUGUUUAGGACGAAAGUGCCUGUUGCAAAUAGUUACAGGUAUUGACGGUACUGAACGAGGAAGCCACGGCUAACUACGUGCCAGCAGCCGCGGUAAUACGUAGGUGGCAAGCGUUGUCCGGAAUUAUUGGGCGUAAAGAGCAUGUAGGCGGGAAUCUAAGUCUGUUGUGAAAAUGCGGGGCUCAACCCCGUAUUGCGAUGGAAACUGGGUUUCUUGAGUGCAGGAGAGGAAAGGGGAAUUCCCAGUGUAGCGGUGAAAUGCGUAGAUAUUGGGAGGAACACCAGUGGCGAAGGCGCCUUUCUGGACUGUGUCUGACGCUGAGAUGCGAAAGCCAGGGUAGCGAACGGGAUUAGAUACCCGUGUAGUCC
rnacentral:rRNA from 1 species